rnacentral:rRNA from 1 species
CAGUUUAACGGCCGCGGUACCCUAACCGUGCGAAGGUAGCAUAAUCACUUGUUUCUUAAAUAGAGACUAGUAUCAACGGCAUCACGAAGACUAUACUGUCUCCUCCCUAAAAUCAAUGAAACUGAUCUCCUCGUGAAGAAGCGAGGAUAUACAUAUAAGACGAGAAGACCCCAUGGAGCUUUAAACGAACUUCAAUUGUUCCUACCCAUAACAUACAAAUUGAACACUCCCUGAUAGAUAGUUUUAGGUUGGGGUGACCGCGGAGUAAAACAAAACCUCCACAAUGAAUGUAAUAAAAUUCUUAUAAAAGAACUACAAUUCUAAUAAUCAAAAAUUUGACAUAAGUUGACCCAAACACUUGAUCAAUGAACCAAGUUACCCUGGGGAUAACAGCGCAAUCCAUUUUAAGAGCCCAUAUCGACAAAUGGGUUUACGACCUCGAUGUUG